AUGGGGCGGCAUGGUGAGCCAUUUCCUAUCCUUGGCUUGCAAUUGGAGGUCUUCCACCUCGUGCUGCAAGAUUUUCAUGAUCACAGAGUCAUCGUGGUGCACCUGCAUGGACAUUGUGCUCUUCAUGUCCAGCAGGACAUGGUAACAGUACAGACGGAUGGCAUAGCCAAGCGCACACAGUUCCGCAUCCUGGAUGUGUCGGCGCAUCUUGGGCUUCCCCAGACUGGCAUGGCUGGUUGUAGCCGUCUGUGGACUCCAACCCAUCGAGAUGGCUUCUCAAGGAAGGACAGCUGGGAUGAGAAGAUGAUGAUUCGUUAUCCUUUUGGUAAAACAUGCACCAACACAUGGGGUUGGUUUGGGACGCGGGUGCACAAGAGGGUGAUCGACCUCCUCAGCUCGCUAGACAUCGUCAAGCAGAUCAUCAUGGAGCCUGGCAUCGUGGUUCAGAUCAUCCUCAUCACAUGGGUUGCCGCCGGUGCCCACCCAAGCACGACCUGGUGCGGUCAACUCAAACCAUGGCCAAUGAAUCCUGAGGGUGCGGGUAAAUGGUUGGUUCAGGGAAUCGACUACGCACGGACCACGGGUGGCCUCUCCUUGGUCCGAAGCAUCAAGACUACAAGACCUGGGAACAGAGCCUCCGGGAAUGACCGCGCUUCCGUACCCUCGAAGGCAACCAGACUAGGUCGUUUUGCGGAUGGCAUGGCGUUUCUACCUCGUCAGGGCAAAUGUGACAUGCAGCGAGCAUGCGGCCUAGGCAGUGAAGAUGCAUUAGUAACCAGGGGUCAGUCACAGGCUCAUCUGCCGCAAGGGUGA
rnacentral:rRNA from 1 species